rnacentral:lncRNA from 13 species
AUGGGAGACAGAUAACUCGUCAUUUUGCUUCACAGGUUUCUAGACCACAAGGAACCACAUAGAGAAGUUCAGCUCUAUGUUGCGAUUGGAUAGAACUUGGGAAGGGGGCCUCUGCUCUACCAGCUGAGCUAUCGAAAGAUGUUGUGGACCUUUAUUUUCAAGAUUCUCUCAACUACAGACUCUUUCUCUGCCUUGGACAAAUAUCACUGCAUGCAGAGAGAUAGGCAGGAGCAAAGUUUGCAGGGUUCACUUCCAAGCACCACCCAAUUUCCCAAGUCUAAGUCAUUUGAGUCUGCAGAAGUCUACCUGAUUCUAUGUGAAAAUCAUGACCCAGAGUACAAAGAGACAAUCAAGAACUCAUAGCUAAUAAACGCAAAAGCCUCGGCCA